UACGAAGGGGGCUAGCGUUAAUCGGAAUUACUGGGCGUAAAGCGUGCGCAGGCGGUGAUGUAAGACAGAUGUGAAAUCCCCGGGCUCAACCUGGGAACUGCAUUUGUGACUGCAUGGCUAGAGUACGGUAGAGGGGGAUGGAAUUCCGCGUGUAGCAGUGAAAUGCGUAGAUAUGCGGAGGAACACCGAUGGCGAAGGCAAUCCCCUGGGCCUGCACUGACGCUCAUGCACGAAAGCGUGGGGAGCAAACAGG
rnacentral:rRNA from 1 species